CAACUGCUACUGCAUGUUGUCCUAAUAAUCAUGAUGCAUUUGCAUUUAGCUCUUUUUAUUCUGAUAGUACACUGGCUUUCAACUAUAUGUAUGCAGCUCAUACAGGUCCAACAGGACCCAAGGGACCUGGUUCUGUCCAAAGGAUCAUCGAUGAAGGUCACCUGCUCUAUAACUGCUACAGGUAUUCCAAACCUGUACUGGUACCACUGGAAUGAAACAGCAGGUUUCACACUGGUCUUCACCUCUCUAGCUACUGGUUCAGUGAAUCCUGCCAGUGAGGGUCAGUUUAAAUCUCACAGACCUGAACAGCUUCAGAUCAUUCUGGAGUCUGAUGGAGUGAGUGAGAUCGGAUCUGCAGUGUGGUACUGUGCAGCCAGUCCCCACAGCAUCACAGUGUCAUCACAGAGCUGUACAAAAACCACAACAUCUUCUUAAGCUUGGGUUUUAUGCUCAAAUAUGUUUUAUGUUUAAUAUCCUGUUUUACAUUGUUGAUCAGCUCAUGGCCUUAAUGGAUAGAAGCCUAGCUGAUCUGUGAAUUCACAUUUGCGAUACUGAAAAAAGUUUUUGCUAUCUGCAUUU